rnacentral:rRNA from 1 species
AGAGUUUGAUCCUGGCUCAGAGCGAACGCUGGCGGCAUGCUUAACACAUGCGAGUCGCACGGUAUGGGGGCAACUCCAUGCAGUGGCGGACGGGUGAGUAACGCGUAGGAAUCUAUCCUUGGAUGGGGGACAACCGUGGGAAACUACGGCUAAUACCGCAUGAUGCCUGAGGGCCAAAGCUCGCGAGAGCGUCUGGGGAGGAGCCUGCGUCCGAUUAGGUAGUUGGUGGGGUAAAGGCCUACCAAGCCUGCGAUCAGUAGCUGGUCUGAGAGGAUGAUCAGCCACAUUGGGACUGAGACACGGCCCAAACUCCUACGGGAGGCAGCAGUGGGGAAUAUUGGACAAUGGGGGCAACCCUGAUCCAGCAAUGCCGCGUGGGUGAAGAAGGUUUUCGGAUUGUAAAGCCCUUUUGGCGGGGACGAUGAUGACGGUACCCGCAGAAUAAGCUCCGGCUAACUUCGUGCCAGCAGCCGCGGUAAUACGAAGGGGGCUAGCGUUGCUCGGAAUGACUGGGCGUAAAGGGCGCGUAGGCGGCUUGCAUAGUUAGGCGUGAAAUUCCUGGGCUCAACCUGGGGACUGCGUCUAAUACAUGCAGGCUUGAGUGUGAAAGAGGGUCGUGGAAUUUCCAGUGUAGAGGUGAAAUUCGUAGAUAUUGGAAAGAACACCGGUGGCGAAGGCGGCGACCUGGUUCAUUACUGACGCUGAGGCGCGAAAGCGUGGGGAGCAAACAGGAUUAGAUACCCUGGUAGUCC